rnacentral:rRNA from 1 species
CCUACGGGGGGCUGCAGUGAGGAAUAUUGGUCAAUGGGCGUAAGCCUGAACCAGCCAAGUCGCGUGAGGGAUGACGGCUCUAUGGAUCGUAAACUUCUUUUAUAAGGGAAUAAAGUGUGGCACGUGUCCCGUUUUGCAUGUACCUUAUGAAUAAGGAUCGGCUAACUCCGUGCCAGCAGCCGCGGUAAUACGGAGGAUCCGAGCGUUAUCCGGAUUUAUUGGGUUUAAAGGGUGCGUAGGCGGCCUGUUAAGUCAGCGGUGAAAGUCUGUGGCUCAACCGUAAAAUUGCCGUUGAUACUGGGAGGCUUGAGUAUAGUUGAGGCAGGCGGAAUGCGUGGUGUAGCGGUGAAAUGCUUAGAUAUCACGCAGAACCCCGAUUGCGAAGGCAGCCUGCCAAGCCAUGACUGACGCUGAUGCACGAAAGCGUGGGGAUCAAACAGGAUUAGAUACCCGAGUAGUC